rnacentral:rRNA from 1 species
GACGAACGCUGGCGACGUGCCUAAUGCGUGCAAGUCGCACGCAGGGAGCUUGCUCCGCUGCGUGGCGCACGGCUGAGGAACACGUGGGUGACCUGCCCCGGCGUGGGGGAUAACGCCGCGAAAGCGGUGCUAAUCCCGCAUACGCUCUUCCGAGAGGAAAGCCUUCGGGCGCGCCGGGAGGGGCCUGCGACCCAUCAGGUAGUUGGUGUGGUAACGGCGCACCAAGCCAGUGACGGGUACCUGGUCUGAGAGGACGACCAGGCAGACUGGGACUGAGACACGGCCCAGACUCCUACGGGAGGCAGCAGCAAGGAAUUUUCCCCAAUGGCCGCAAGGCUGAGGGAGCAACGUCGCGUGCAGGAUGACGGCCCUCGGGUUGUAAACUGCUUUUGGGCGGGAAGAUCGUGACGGUACCGCCCGAAUAAGCCCCGGCUAACUCCGUGCCAGCAGCGCAGUAACAC